AUACAUAAGCAUGUACACCUAUUUGUAUAUAAAUGAAUAUGCAUAAAUUCACAUUAAAACAUUUUUGGAUUAUAAGUUCUAUUUUUUUUUAUUUUAUAUUUUGUACUUCUUAUAUUUCGUAUUAAAGAUUCAAUCUUUAUAUAAUGAUUUAUUUGUUUAUUUUUUAUUUGUUUGUUUAUUUUUUAUUUGUUUAUUUAUUUGUUUUUACACAAUAGACAAAAACACUUUUAUAAAAUAUCAAACAAUAAAUGUUUAUGCUGAAACGUUUAUAACCAAAUGAUAAGCAUAAAAAAAAAAAAAAAAGUCAAAAAAAAGUACCAAAUAAAAAAUAUUAAAAAAAAGUAGAAAAAAAAAAAAAAAAAAUCAAAAAAGCAGAAUUAAAAAGAGUUAAAUAUAUAUAUAUAUAUUAUAAAGCAAAAUUGAAUGAAAACAUACUUAUAAACUUUUUUUUAAAUAUGAAUGAAAACAAAGAAGUAUAUAGAAUGAUUGAUGACACCAACCUACUGAAUAAAAGCUAUUUUAUAAACUCAAACAAUUACUCAGGUAACAACAUGUACACAAAUGAUCCCAACAUUAACACUUUCCAUAGUAAUGAACAAAACAGUAAUGGUAACAUUAGUAGUAAUUAUAAUCAAAAUGAAAAUGUAUGCGGAGAUGCGAACAUACCCGUUUCUUACAACUUGAACAGUCCAUAUAACAGUGCUACUCUUUGCGCUAGGGCACCACUUUAUACUGUAGACAAUUCUACAGUUAAUAAUAAUAAAAAUGGAAUACAAACUAACGAAUGGAAUGUGUCAAGUUGUAAUAAUAACAUUAAUAACAAUAUUCAUCAGAACGUUAAUAACAAUACCCAGCAAAACAACAUCAAUAACAAUAACAAUACUCACCACACUAUCAAUAACAAUGGUCAUCACAGUAUCUAUAACAACAAACAAAAUAGUAUUAAUAAUGACGACUAUUACGAGUCCUAUGAAAGUAUUAAUGAGACACUUUCAAAAAAUUUAAAUAAUCAGAUGUAUCUUAAGAAAAAAGAAAAAAAAAGUAUAGAUGCACCUUAUUUGAAUUAUAAUAAUAAACAAAUCAAAACAAAUGAACAUGGGCAAAACGUAUGUAUGAAUAGUAAUCACAACAUGUUCAGUAACACUACGCAAAAUGAUAGUGCUUACAACAACGACCUUUAUAACAAUAACUUGUAUGACAAUACCAUAUUAAACAAUAAUAUGCUAAACAAUACUGUAUUAAACAAUACUGUAUUAAACAAUACUGUAUUAAACAAUACUGUAUUAAACAAAAGCGUACUUAACAACAACACAUUAAACAACAACACACUCAAUAACAACACAAUCAACAACAAUACUCUGAACAACAACACAAUCAACAACAAUACUCUGAACAACAAUACAAUCAACAACAAUACUCUGAACAAUAAUACAAUCAACAACACCUUACUCAACAACAGUGCUAUUCAUAAUAUUGUCCUUAACAAAAAUAUAUGCAAAAGUGAUGUUAAUAACGAAAAGAUUUUUAACAACAACGAUAAUAUCAAUGACAAUAUUAAUAGCAUAAUGAAAUACAAGAAUUACAAAAAAAAUACUUUUUAUAACCUUAACAACAACGGAAACUCUUCAGCUUACAUGGAAGCAGAAAGUAACAAGAACAUUAACAACUUACGCGCAUCCAAUGUUUAUUCUGGUAGAAUGCACACAAUAGAUAACCCUAUGGUUAAAAAUAACUUAAUUAAUUAUAAUGAUGGUAAAACUUUAUUUUUAAACAAUCAUGAAUUCAUAAAUAGAACCAAUAAUGGGUACCUUAAUAAUAGAAUAACCAAUAUAGAAAAACAUACAAAUACUACUCAUUAUAAAUAUAAAAAUGAUAAUAUAUUAAGCAAUAAAAAUAAUAUUAUUAUAUCAGAUAAUAACAGUAAUAACAAGGGUUCUAGUGCGUAUAGUAAGGCUCAUACGUAUAAUAUCGAUAAUAGCAGUUAUAAAAAAACACAAACAGAUGUAAUUUGUUCGAUUAAACAACAAAACGAUAUAUAUAACACGUCUGUUAGUCAAAAAGGGAAACCUUGCAUGUGCGAACAAUGCUUUAACAACGAUAUAAUGAUAAACACAGAUGGGGAAAAAAUAAUACAUCUAUAUAAUAAUGAUAAUGUUAUUACCACUAUGCACCAUAAUAACAAUAAUAACAAUAAUAAUAAUAAUAAUAAUAAUAAUAAUAAUAAUAAUAAUAAUAAUAAUAAUAGUAAUAAUAAUAAUAAUAGUAAUAAUAAUAAUAAUAACGAAAGUAGCAAAAGUAAUCUGAGUAAUAGGAACUAUAUUAUAAAUGACUCUGCUUUAAAUAAUAACAAUAACAACAGUAACAACCACAGUAACAACAACAGCAACAACAACAGUAACAACAACAGUAACAACAACAACAGUAACAUUAAAAAUAAUACUGAACAAUCUUCAAUGAACAACACUAAUAACAAUAAAAAUUAUUUUUUAAUGAACAGCCAUACAAAUACAGAAACAAAUACCAAUUAUAAAAAACGAACAUAUGAUGUUAUUACAUUAAAAAAAAAUUAUUUUCCAUAUAACAAUAAUAACCAUACUAAUAAUAAUUAUAUAGAGUAUGAUAUUAAAAAUGAUAGUGAUACAAAUUUUAAUAAAUGGAAUAACGAUAAUAACAAUAACAAUAAUGAUAAUGAUAACAAUAGUAAUAGUAAAAAUUAUAAUAAUGACACAUAUGAUGAUAAACGAGUUUACUAUCAAAAUGGAUGUCCAUAUUAUUUGAAUAUAGAUAUGCAAAAAAAUACGAUUAUGCACGAUAAAUAUAAUUAUGAUAGUUUCAACAAUGGUUCAAAAAAUAGCAAUGAUUUUUAUAACCAAUCAAAUGCUUAUAUAAAUAAUGAAAUAUUAUAUAAUAAUUCAAAAGAUGAAGAUGCUGUUUACAUGAAACCAAAUAAUAUAAAUAUGAGAACUUCAACACAAGAAAUUAUAAAUCGGAGCGAAUAUACACCAGCAGCAGCAGCAGCAGCAGCAUCCCCCCCCUCACCAACACCUACACUACCAGAUUCAGAAUUAUGCCUAUCACCAUCAAACCAAUUGGUAUGCUUACCAUCACCAGAACAAUUGGUAUGCCUACCACCACCAGAACAAUCGACAUGCUUACCACCUCCAAACCAAUCAGCAUGCUUACCACCUCCAAACCAAUCAGCAUGCUUACCACCUCCAAACCAAUCAGCAUGCUUACCACCUCCAAACCAAUCAACAUGCCUAUCAUCGUCAAACCAAUCGGCGUGCUUACCACCUCCAGACCAAUCAUCAUGCUUAUCACCGUCAGAUCAAACGACAUGUAUUCCACCAUAUUACCACCUUAAAUACACAUCAGUAGACUUAUCCACACCAUUUUCCACACAUAAUCAGAGUAUAAUAAAUAAUAGUUUAAGAAGUAGUAAUAACGAAAUAAAAGAAAAAAACAAAACUAACUAUUAUCAAAUUGCUCCAAAUAAUACCAACAUAAACUUAGACAUUAUACAAAAUGACACGGACUAUUCUUUUAAUUUAAAAAACAACAAGUUUAUGCACAAAGAAUACACGAUUAAUGUUAGAAACCAAAAUAUACACAAUAUAGAUUUACAAUACAACAGUAGCAACGUAGACCUACAUUACGAUGGUAAUAACGUUGAUAUAAGCAUUAACAACGUAGAUAUUGGUAUUAAAAACCUUGAUAUAGGAAAUGAGAACGUUGAUAUAAAAACUAACAAUGUAGGUAUAGGUAUAAACAGUAACGACACAGAUAGGGGAAAUGUAGAAAUGAGCAUUAACAGUCCCGACAUAGGUACUAAGAGCAAUAACAGCAGUGGUAGUCACAACAGUGGUAGUCACAACAGUGGUAGUCACAACAGUGGUAACCAAAACAAUGACAACCAAAACAAUGAAAAACAAAACAAUGAAAAACAAAACAAUGACAAUCAAAACAAUGACAAUCAAAACAAUGACAAUCANNNNNNNNNNAAUCAAAACAAUGACAAUCAAAACAAUGACAAUCAAAACAAUGACAAACAAAACAAUGACAAACGUAUUAACAACAUGCGCAGUGAUAGUAUGAACCAAACAAACACAACUGAAUACGAAAACUUAGACGAGUUAGAAAGUCGCUUUUUACAGAAUUACUUGAAAUGCAUGGAAGCCAUUUAUUCCGCUAAAGAUCGAAACCAACAGUACAGUAAAAACAUUAUUGAAAUGAAAAACAUUCUUAAAGGUAUGUUACUAAAUAGAAAUAACAAAAAAUAUACAAACAAUUAUUACAACAUAUUAGAGGUGUUAUACAAUGUAAGCAAAAAAAAAAAAGGGUUAGAUGAUGAAAGAAUCAGAGGUUUAUUACAUAUAUUUAAAUAUAUAAGCGAUAGGGAAAAGGAAAAAAAGAACAAAAAAAAAUAUAACACAGAUAAUGAAGAUAAAAAAAAAAAUAGAAAAGAUAAACAAGGGGAAGAACAAAAACUAGUUACAAAAGCAAACAAAACAGAUAAUGAAACAGAUGAAACGAAUAUAACCGACGAAUCAGAUGAAAGCGAAAAAUCGGAUGGAGAUGCAGAUACAAAAAAUAAAAGCGAAUUUCCUUUUAAUUGUUUUUUUUUAAAAAAAAAAUAUGUACAAAAUAUUUUAAAGAAUAAGCCUAAUUUAUACCAUAAUAAAAUAAAAAAAGUGAAUUUUCAUCAAAAUAAUUUUUAUUUUGAACAUACAUUAAAACAAAUUGAGUAUGUAAAUAAUUUGUUAGUAUAUAUCCAUUUUAUUAUUUUAAAAUAUAUCUACUUGUUCUCGGUAAAACAGUGGAAUAUAUUAUUAUUUCAAAACAUAGACAAAUAUAAUAAUUAUAAUGAUAUGAAUAUGAAUACAAGCCCAAAUGAUAUAAAAUGUACCAACACAAAUAAUACUACAGAAAAUACAAACGAACAUGACCUUAUAAGUUUGUUUAAUGAUAGUACAAAUAAAAUUGUUGAUAUAGGGGAAGAUUUAUCAAAUGUUAUGUAUGACAACAAAAAUCAUGAUUAUGUUUUUUAUAAUUAUAAUUUGCGUGAUACAUGUCAAAAUCAGAAAUAUGAAAACGUUGUAUUCGGGAAUGCAGCUACUAUUGGGGAGGAAAUGGUAACUCCUAACGUUGGAUCAUAUGAACAUACGUUAAUACCAUGUUAUCAGAAUAAUCAGAAUAAUCAGAAUAAUCAGAAUAAUCAGAAUAAUCAGGAUAGUAGGUCCCUUAUGCAUUUGAAAAUGGAAACAAAACAAGUAGAUCAGAACACAAAUAACGGUGUUAAUAAUGAUGUCUAUACUGGCAAAGCGGAUGGUAUUAAUAUUGGCAAAGCGAAUGACGAACACAGAAACAACAAAAGGGACAACGCAAAUGAAAAUAAAAGCGAUGGAAAAAAUAAUACCCUAUUUAAAAACGAUUUAUAUUAUAAGUCAAUUUUUUGCAAUGUUAAAGAUUGGUCUAAUGUAAGUGGUGAAGUAAUAGAAAAAUUAAAUCCUACUUUAAUUAAUAAAGAAAAUAUGGUUGAUAUAUAUUAUUACGAAUAUAUGUUACAUCCUUAUAAUUUUCCUUAUUAUGACAAUUUAUACAAUGAAAUAUAUAAUCAUAUGCAAAAAUUAAAAAGCGAUAACAGUAAUAAUAAUUCUACUGCGAAUAAUAACCGGGAUAUUUGUAGUAGUAGUAGUAGUAGUAAUAAUAAUAAUGGAACUGAUACGAAAACUGGAACAAUCACUAAUACCAGUAGCAAUAAAAAUAGCAACAUUGACUCUAACUGGGUUUAUAAGUUAGUCGAAAGGUUACCAGAUGAAUAUUAUGCAUACGUAGACGUACUCAUAAAAGAAAUAUUAAAAAUAAGAGAUUUAAUAUAUAGAAACAGUUACCUUAGAUAUGUCUUUUAUUAUAUAUAUAAAAAUAGUAACAACAAUAUAGCUUAUAUUAUUAACCAUGUAUUCACAACAGAAAUAAAAAAAAUAAUGUUAUACAAAAUGCAAAUGAAGAUGCGAUAUAACCUAUUCAUUUCACGUUUCAUGGAAAGUAAUUCUAACAAUAACAAUAGUAACAACAACAGGAACAACAACAGAAACAACAGAAACAACAGCAGGAACAACAGCAGGAACAACAGCAGGAACUACAACAGCAAUAUUAAAAGAAACAACUACAACAUUAACAAGAACAAUAAUACGAACAACAUCAUUAACAAUAACAAUAGAAAUAAUAACAACGAAGUCAAUAGUAACAACCUUAACAAUAGCAGAAACAACAAAAAAAAUAAAAACAACAACAAAAACAAUAGAAACAACAACAAUGGUAACAAUAAACGUAAAAAAUACUAUAAUAAUAAUAAUCUGUGUCAGAAAAAUGUUAACCAACUUAACUUCGUACAGGCAAAACAUAAAUUAUCUAAUUUGCUGUAUUUUAAAUAUAAUAAAUAUUAUGAAGAACUCACAAAUGAGAAUGAAAAUAUAAAAAAACUGAAACGUACAGUUUUAAAUGUUGAGGUAGAUAAUUUUUCUAUCAUUAAAAAAAGAGUAUCAAUAUAU
ensembl:lncRNA